AGCAACUCUGUGGAGCAAAGCCAUGGGGGCAGUUACAUUGGAUGAGAGGUUGAAGUUUUGACAUCAAACUGGAUUCUUACAUUGGAAGAGUCCUCAAAGGCUAUCCAGACAACAUUCUCACAUGGGAGAGUUGCUCUUUAAGUGAACUUGCUUGUCAAAUGCCUCUUUAAAAAGCGAGUGAAGAUAAUUGCAAGUCAGCUGGAAGUGCUGCCAAGAUAUGACCUCCAGGAAGGCCCAGAAGACAAGUGAUAUUGUGUGGACUGCUACAGCGCAAUGUCUAACUGAUUCAAAAUGAAGAAUCAAUUUGAAAUUAAGAUGAGAAAAGGCAUCCAGCACUUAUAUUAUAGCAAAAAACAUUGUCACCAGGCCCUGGGAAAGAUGAGACCACCUCCCUUCCCUUCUCAGGCUCCCUUUCCCUGUCAGACUGUAGCUCUUAAAGGCUGUCAUCCUCCAAGGGUAUUCCCUAAGUACAGCAUAGCAUCUCUGUUAGCCUUUGAAUUCAACAAUAUUGAUCUCCUCCAACAUUUUCAUUCCUUUAGUCAAAAGUCAGCUGUCAAACGCAAGGCACAAGUGCAACUUUAAGGAAUUCAUGGCCAAUAUUUGUCAUGUCAUUUCAUGGAUUGUCUGCAGGCACAUAAAACAUACAAUGAGGAUACUGAUCCAAGAUACAUGGCACACAAUUAAAUUGUGAAAAAACAUGACUCUGAGUCCAGAAGUUCUUAUUUUUUUGCAGUCUUCAGAGUAUCGUAUAGGCCCCUUGAAAAAUAAAUUUGCAGAGUGUGAAUGUUAAUUUACUUUCACCUUCAGAAAACAGAUUUUCCACAUUUAUAAAAGAGAAAUAGUGACUAUUCUAGACAAUAGAGCCCAGCAAGAAUACUCAAACUAGUAUAACCCUAUUUCUCUAUACCACAAAGACAUCUUGUAGGCAUGUUCCUCUGAAGGACUUGACUUGAGAAUUAUGCUUUUUUUCCUCCUUUUCUCUCUAAAAGCAAAAAGCACCAUAAUCUUGCUGUAGUAUAAUCAAAACAGAGCCCGAUGUGAAAACAGAGCCUUGAGUUUUCAUCCUUCAUUUGUUACUUAAAAGUUGACAUAAGAAAAAUUAUUUAACUUCUCUUAACCUCAGUUUCUUAUCUAUAAAAUGGGAUUAUAAAAUGUAUCUCACAAAGUAGUUAUGAGGAUUAAAGGAAAUG